CACUCCGCCCUCGCCGCCCGCCCUCGCCGCCCGCCCUCGCCGCCGGCCUCCGCCGCCCGCCUCCCCCACCCGCCCCGGGCUGUCCCCGCCGCCCGCCUGAUUCCCCUGCGGAAGCGCCGCUGGCUAGGUGUCUGCGCGCACCCCCGGCCGCCGUCAGGGGUGGCACAGCUGGGGAAGGAGUGAACAUCCAGAGGAAUCGCCGGGCGGGGUGGGGGGAGGCCAGAAGAACAGGUGGCGCAGGGAAGCAGAAACGUAGUUGCGCUGGACAGCUGGAGUGGGGCAGGGUCGGGGCCAGCGGCGAGGGGACAAGAAGGGCCGAUUCAAGAGGAAGCGCACCUGAGGGAGGGCGGCGAAGGCCGGGACGCAGGGAGCUGGGCGGAGAGCGAGCCUGGGCGGCGAAAGUUGAAAAUGCAACUGCAAGCUCCCCGGUGAGACAAAUACCGCCUUCAACCUUCGUAUUCUGUGGUGACUCAUCUCGCACGUGACCCCCUCCCUCUUCAAGGUGUGUUGACCGACUACAGUCUAAGCCUGUCGUCCCACAAAAGGCCCGGGAGGGCCGGGGUCCCAGGAAGGGCCAUCCUGGGUCAACACCGUCCUAGUUGGGAAGUCGGGCCGCUUUCGGACUUGCCACUGGGAAGGGAAGUGAUUUGGGGGCGGCAGGU
rnacentral:sRNA from 1 species